GUAACAGUGAGAGAUGGGGUCUCUGGGCUCCUUCUGGUUGCACCAGUUUGUCCCAGGAGCCAGAAACAAGGAAUGAGAGUGAAUAAUGAGUUGUAUUGGUGGUUUUGCUUUUAUUGCUUCUCUUUUAACAGACACCUUUGGGGGACGAGCACACGUGAAUUGGACAGGAUCUUUAAUGGAAAAGACGGACGCUGCACCAUGGAGACUACUGGACCACUAGUCUUCUAACUGCACGUUGGCCAAGAAAUUCUUUUAAACUCAUCGAAGCAAGACACCUGAGCCAAAGGAGCCAUGAUAUCCACAAUCCAGGAGGUGCCCACCCAACCGGCAGCUAAGCAUGUCCAAAUGGAAGUAUCAGCGUGCUGCUGGGCACCCCUCUGCCACUGCAGGAACGUGUUGUAGGAUGAAAUGGACAGCUAUGGGCUGAUGCCAAACUCAAGAUGGAAACAGAAGAGAUCGUCUUGCU
ensembl:lncRNA